rnacentral:rRNA from 1 species
GACGAACGCUGGCGGCGCGCUUAACACAUGCAAGUCGAGCGAUGAAACUUUAACAGAACCCUUCGGGGCGAAGAUAAAGUGGAUUAGCGGCGGACGGGUGAGUAACACGUGAGUAACCUGCCUUAGACAUUGGGAUAGCCUCGGGAAACCGGGAUUAAUACCAAAUAAAAUCAUAAUGACACAUGUCAUAACGAUCAAAACUCCGGUGGUCUAAGAUGGACUCGCGUCCCAUUAGCUAGUAGGUAGAGUAAAAGCCUACCAAGGCGACGAUGGGUAGCCGGCCUGAGAGGGUGAACGGCCACAUUGGAACUGAGAAACGGUCCAAACUCCUACGGGAGGCAGCAGUGGGGAAUAUUGCACAAUGGAGGGAACUCUGAUGCAGCGACGCCGCGUGAACGAAGAAGGCUUUCGAGUCGUAAAGUUCUUUUAUAUGGGAAGAUAAUGACGGUACCAUAAGAAAAAGCCCCGGCUAACUACGUG